UAUGAACGCUGGCGGCGUGCCUAACACAUGCAAGUCGAGCGAGAAGCUCAUGAUCAAUACUUCGGUUGCGUGAAUGAGUGGAAAGCGGCGGACGGGUGAGUAACGCGUAGGCAACCUGCCCCUUGCAGAGGGAUAGCCUCGGGAAACCGGGAUUAAAACCUCAUAACGCGUCCACAAGACAUCUUGAGGAUGCCAAAGAUUUAUCGGCAAGGGAUGGGCCUGCGUCUGAUUAGUUAGUUGGUGGGUAACGGCCUACCAAGGCGACGAUCAGUAGCCGACCUGAGAGGGUGAUCGGCCACAUUGGAACUGAGACACGGUCCAA
rnacentral:rRNA from 1 species